UCAUAAAAAAUCCUUAAAUGAGGAAUGAUCAGCUUAUUAGCUAAUCCACUGUUUAGGCUUAAUAAGCCGUUGAUAAGAACCAUGAUUUAUAAACGUUUAUUAGGGGUUUCUUAACUAAUAAGCAGAUUAGACCCGUUAUGUUGGCAUCUUGGCACAUCAUAGACAAAAAUAUGGCUGAACAUUAAUUUUAAAAAAAAGUUUGACAGCAGCACUAGCGGUAAAUCAUAAAAUCCUGAACAAUACGAUGCACAAUUUUGACCAGUUUUCUGGGUUAUUAUAUAUUAAAAUAGCCUCUGCAUCACAAAAACAAAUAAAUAAUAUUGCACGGCCGGAAGUUUUACGAAACUCGUUUCAAUAUAUUGUGGAAUGAGGGAAAGAGGGCAGUUGCACAUCUCAAGUCAAGAAUUCUGCCUGCGCGCCAUCGCCACCGUAAUACCACGGAUUCCAACACAUUUUGUUCUGGUGGCGAAACACAAACGAUAUUGACACUAUUCAUAUCAAAUGAUCGGUGAAGAUAAAUCAGGUUGUGAGUAUUCCAUCAUCAGCUAUUUGUCCGGAGCUGGCUACACAAUCCGGAGGCCACACUCUUCUGGCAUCUAACCGGCCUGCACACCGCCAUCAAAUGAAGUUGGUUG